AGAGUUUGAUCAUGGCUCAGAUUGAACGCUGGCGGAAUGCUUUACACAUGCAAGUCGAACGGCAGCACGGACUUCGGUCUGGUGGCGAGUGGCGAACGGGUGAGUAAUACAUCGGAACGUGCCCAGUCGUGGGGGAUAACGUAGCGAAAGCUACGCUAAUACCGCAUACGAUCUAAGGAUGAAAGCGGGGGACCGUAAGGCCUCGCGCGAUUGGAGCGGCCGAUGGCAGAUUAGGUAGUUGGUGGGGUAAAGGCUCACCAAGCCGACGAUCUGUAGCUGGUCUGAGAGGACGACCAGCCACACUGGGACUGAGACACGGCCCAGACUCCUACGGGAGGCAGCAGUGGGGAAUUUUGGACAAUGGGCGCAAGCCUGAUCCAGCCAUUCCGCGUGCAGGAUGAAGGCCCUCGGGUUGUAAACUGCUUUUGUACGGAACGAAAAGGCUCUGGUUAAUACCUGGGGCUCAUGACGGUACCGUAAGAAUAAGCACCGGCUAACUACGUGCCAGCAGCCGCGGUAAU
rnacentral:rRNA from 1 species